CCUACGGGAGGCAGCAGUGGGGAAUAUUGCACAAUGGGGGAAACCCUGAUGCAGCGACGCCGCGUGAGUGAAGAAGUAUUUCGGUACGUAAAGCUCUAUCAGCAGGGAAGAAAAACCGGCCUUAGGGCCGCCAGACGGUACCUGACUAAGAAGCCCCGGCUAACUACGUGCCAGCAGCCGCGGUAAUACGUAGGGGGCGAGCGUUAUCCGGAUUCACUGGGUGUAAAGGGAGCGUAGACGGCCAAGCAAGCCAGGGGUGAAAGCCCGGGGCCCAACCCCGGGACUGCCCUUGGAACUGCAUGGCUGGAGUGCGGGAGGGGCAGGCGGAAUUCCUGGUGUAGCGGUGAAAUGCGUAGAUAUCAGGAGGAACACCGGCGGUGAAGGCGGCCUGCUGGACCGCGACUGACGUUGAGGCUCGAAAGCGUGGGGAGCGAACAGGAUUAGAUACCCGAGUAGUC
rnacentral:rRNA from 1 species